ensembl:lncRNA
GGUGCCCUGCCUCCCGUGUGUUUUCUGUUUUCAAUCUCAAAAUGGGUAUUGAUGGACUGCUCAUCCGUGUUCCUAAAGGCUAGGUAACAGGGCUGCGGGCAGAAGUGAGAGGGAGGAAUAGGGUGGAAUCUUGUGUCUGACUCUUUGCAACCCCAUGGACUGUAAUCCACCAGGUUCCUCCAUCUCUGUUCAUGGGAUUCUCCAGGCAAGAAUACUGGAGUGGGUUUCCAUUCCCUUCUCCAGGGGAUCUUCUUGACCCAGGGGUUGAACCCAGGUCUCCCACAUUGCAGGCAGAUUCUUUGCCAUCUGAGCUACCAGGGAAGCCUCUCUCUUAGCUGCAGAAAACCUCUAUUCUUCUCCAGUAGAAAUUCCAGGCUUGACUUCCAUCAAUAUUAGGGAUCUCCUAGGGGCUUCAGGGAAUUCCUAAAUCUCUUGAAAUCAUAUUGUGCGUGCAUGCAUAUGUGCAUUUGUGGGGAAGAGGUUCAAUAGCUCUCAUAGAGUCUGCUACUAAAAAAAAAUGAAAAUACUGCUUCAUAAAAAGUUCUCUUAAAAGGUAUGAAUUUAACCUUGAAGUCAUAAAUCUGAUGUAAUAAUUAACACAAAAGUUUAUAUCAGAUAGACUUUAUGAGGACAUUUUAGUCGACUGUAAGUCUUGAGUGUCUGAUUAUUAAAGAAUAAUAUGGAAAGGAAGAGAUUGCUUUAAGUGUUCAGGGAGUCCCCUGGUGGUCCAGUGGUUGGGAUUCUGCCUGCCAGUGCAGGAGCCAUGGGUUUGAUCCCUGGUCUGGGAGGAUUCCGCAUGCCGUGGGGCAACUAAGCCCGUGUGUCACAACUACUGAGCCUGAGCACCACAGCUGCCGAAGCCUGUGCCCAAAGUCUGUGCUCCACAAGAGAAGCCCCUGCGGUGAGAAGCCUGCACACUGCAGCUGGAGAGCAGCCCCCUCUCGCCACAAUCAGGGAAGCCCAUGCCUAUCAGCGAAGACCCAGCACAGCUAAAAAAUAAAAUCUGAUGUCUAAAACAGAGCCAGUCAUCUUGUGAUGAGGAGGAAAAGACCAGGAGAAUCGCCAAGACAGGACCCUGACAUCACUGAGUUGCUCAACUGAUGCUAAGCCACCUACAUCCAGGCUUCUUGGCAUGUGAGAAAAGUAAUCUACCAUCUGCUAACCACAGUAAGCUACCAUCCAAAUCACAAUGGGUUGAAUUGUCUGUCACUCACAGCCAACUAACAUUUAUAACUGACACAGGAGAUUUUCAUAGGCUUCACAGAAGGGAGAUAACUUGUCAUGAG